rnacentral:rRNA from 1 species
CCUACGGGGGGCAGCAGUGAGGAAUAUUGGUCAAUGGCCGGAAGGCUGAACCAGCCAUGCCGCGUGAAGGUCAGUGCCCUAUGGGCGUUAAACUUCUUUUGUGCGGGAGCAAUAAUGGUCACGUGUGGCCAGACGAGAGUACCGUACGAAUAAGCAUCGGCUAACUCCGUGCCAGCAGCCGCGGUAAUACGGGGGAUGCAAGCGUUAUCCGGAUUUAUUGGGUUUAAAGGGUGCGUAGGCUGGGAGGUAAGUCAGCGGUGAAAUGCCCCCGCUCAACGGGGUGAAGUGCCAUUGAUACUGCCUGGCUGGAAUGCGGAUGCCGUGGGAGGAAUGUGUGGUGUAGCGGUGAAAUGCAUAGAUAUCACACAGAACACCGAUUGCGAAGGCAUCUCACGAAUCCGCGAUUGACGCUGAUGCACGAAAGCGUGGGUAUCAAACAGGAUUAGAUACCCGGGUAGUC